UACAGAGGUCCCAAGCGUUGUUCGGAUUUAUUGGGCGUAAAGAGCGUGUAGGCGGCCAGGUAGGUCUGCUGUGAAAACUCGAGGCUCAACCUCGAGACGUCGGCGGAAACCAUCUGGCUAGAGUCCGGAAGAGGAGAGUGGAAUUCCUGGUGUAGCGGUGAAAUGCGCAGAUAUCAGGAAGAACACCCGUGGCGAAGGCGGCUCUCUGGGACGGUACUGACGCUGAGACGCGAAAGCGUGGGGAGCGAACAGG
rnacentral:rRNA from 1 species